AAAUACAACUCUUGCUUCUUUUUAAUUUCUUGUAGGGAGCCAAGGCCUGGCAACAGGAGGUCUAAACACUCCUUCAGUCUUUUGAAUCACAGAAAUAUACGUCUCUUACAGAUACCUUGGUAGGUGGUCUAACUAUAGCCUUUAACCCUUCUGUGCCUCAGCUCCCUCUUUUUUAAGAUACAGAUAGGAAUACUUUGCAGCCAUGCUGGCAGUAUAAAUAUCUCAAGGACAGGGAUAUUGUCUGCUAUCUUGUUACUGUAUUGCCAAAAUAUAGGGGCAGGGUAUUACUAUUUACUGUUAAAUUUCCAGACCUGUCAUUUUAAGGUAGUGUGUGUUUUGGAAACAGAGUGAGGGAGGGCUAGAGACAGAGGAGACUUGCUCAGCCUGGCUGUGGGGCAGGGAAUGGGCAAAAAGGUUGCUCCCAAUCUUCCUUUCUGGUUAUGGAGCUGUGUGGAUGGAUUUUGAGGGGAAAACCUGCUCAGCUUACAGACAGUCUGCUGCUACAGCACUGAGCUCUGAAGGUCUGGAGCUGAGGAACAGAGGUAUCAGAAAGCUUGUAAAAAAAUACCAUGAAUCACUCGUCUGCUCAAAUAGCCUUCAUAAAAUAAUAAAAAACCACAGCACCUUCUGAAGAUGUAUCUUGACAUUUCUGAGCAUGAGGGAUGAGUACAGGUCACAGAAAUCUGGAAUCCUGCAGCACUGCUCUUAUGGGCAACAGUACUUUGGAACUUUACUCUUUUGUACUGUACCCUAUAGAAGGCAAGUGAUUAAUCCACUUAAUUUGUGGGUACCAAAUGCUUGACUUAAGGAGAGAAAGGAUCUAAUACGGGGCUUAAUGCCUCAAUUGGAUUUCCUAGCAAGCUUAGGCAUGAGAUUUUUCUUACAGAGAUUAGCUAGAUUACUUGGUAGAAAUGGAAACCAGAAGACCUGGGAGUGGUUAAAGAAGGAAACAGGGAAUGGAUAGUGUAACUUCAAAUUUUUCUGUGGGGUAUGGAAAGAUAAGAAUGUACUUGGGGAAGUGUAAGGUGCUUUUUUUUAGUGGUGGAAAAGGACUGUGUUUUGAAGAACCAUGACAUGAGAGGGAUGGAAGUGAAGGAUAUGUAGAAAUGUAAGGCUCUGAAACCAGCAGAGUACAUUUAUGAAGAAGAUGUGUAGCCAAGUGAGGAGUGAUGUAACACUGAGAAAAAAAGAGCUCUACAUAUACAGCAGGUCAUUCUUACUUUUUUUUAAACUUUGAUUUUUUUCUUUUAUUUUCCCGGGGUAACAUGGAAGAAUCACAAAAUAAAAUUGCCAGUUCAUACCAUGUUUCAGCUUCUAACUGGGACAACACUUGUUCUGCAUCUGAUACAGGAGUCUCCAACAUCUGCCUUAAAACUUAGGGAUUGUUUUAUCCCAGUCUUGGUAAUAGCGUCUCUGCAGUUAACCAGAGGAGUGUUAGAGCAGUUGCUUGCAGUUCCACAGCCCAGACUCUGAGGCUGACUGAGUGAGCAUCCUUCAGUGAAACUGCACCAAUGAUCUUUAAUAGAAUUUGGAGAUGUGUAAGUGUUCAUGGCAUGGUAUAUACAUACACACGUACACAUUUAUCUGAGAAAAAUUUGUUGUGUUGUCCUGUUCUACACCUCCAGCUCUUUCUUCCCCAGUUGUGGAAGGGCUAGAGGUCCUCCAUGGCUUGCUGCCUGCCUAGGCAGUGAGUUGAAGGUGUAGGAGAUAGGAGGGUUUUGGAAACUCCCUCAGUAUGCUGGAUCCAGCAGACAUCAGUUGUGUGGCAGAUUCAGCAGAGGGAGCCUUGUGUUCAGUCCUGGAGCUGAGGAAGGGAGGAGACUUAAUGCAGCUCAGAAAGAAAAGCUCACUUUCAUUUUCCUCCCUCCCUCCUCUGGGACCUGGAGCUUGCUGCUUGGACUGGGAAUGCCUAAGCAACAUCACACGGUUCUCCUGUGACUUUUUUUUGGAAACUUCCCGUUUUCUGAAGAGUUUUCUAUUUGAGUAGCCCAUAUGCCCAGCUCUCGUUCAACAACAGCUGUCCAUGUUCCAGGACAAGAGGCAGAGGGCAGGAUGGAUGGCAGUGGUGCCUUUAUGGCUGUUCGUAGUUCAGGAGAGCAACAGUUAAGCAAAGAUGGCUUUAAAGCAAAACAAACAAAGAACUAACUUUGGUGACUUAUGCAGUGAAAAACUUUUCCCACUUCUUUAUCCCAGAACUUCAAGGUCUGAAAUGUUUUCAGGUAGGUCUUUUUUGUUUGUUUACAUGCCCAUGACUUACCUAAGCUGAAGCAGCUACUGUGUCAGUAGUGGGCAGGAGGUGAAGCCCCAGCCCAAGACAACAGACAUGAUGUUCCUGAGAGCUCGCUUUCUAUUUUCCUCACUUCUUCUCUCUUUUUUCUCUUUGCAGUGAAUGAGGAGUCUGUCCCCUAUGGGGUCCAAAAUGUUUUGAUGCAGUAAUCCUGCAACUUGAGCUAAAACUGUUUUUUCUGUUCCAGUAGGUAAGAGGUAGCCAAUAGGGAAGAAAACAAGCCCUAUUAGAAAAAGUAUUGGCCUGCCUAAGAUUUUAAACACAGUUUGGCAUGUAAUUUAAUUCUCUUUAAAACAGGCCAGCUGGUAAAAGUCUAGGUCUAACAGGAACUUGAGAGCAAUCUCAGCAAGUUAACAUGUUUUUAACACAUCCUGCUUCAUCGUUUUUACAAAGACCUGCUGGAGAGCAAGCAGUUGUGCUCCCUAAUGGUGCUGCCUGCUCUGCUGGAACACAUGGGGCACUUUCUAGUCUCUGUUACCAGAGACUGUCUUUGCUGAAACACAGAUCAAUAGACCAAAGGAACAGCUUGUGAGCCUCUGCCUCAUAUAUAGGUAUGACUUAAUUGAACAGGACAGUUUCCACCCUUAGGUAAUGGCAUCCAUGCAAGUGUGGCUGCUUUGAUGGAUAGAUCUCCUUGCAGAAGUUUCACCCUUGAUCAGAGCAAGUUAGUCAUGACCAUCUUGGGCAAUAUUGUCCUGGGAGGACAGUAAGUAUUCCAAAAUGCUACUGGGAGAAAAGAGGGACCUUGAAGCCCCUGCCCCUUCUAGAGUAAUACAAUUUGGUUUUCCCUGCAAGGACUCCAGAUCUCCUCACCUGACCAUGGCAGCUCUCUUAAGUUGAACUGGCUGAGCCCUUGGGCUAAAAUCUUUAUGGACACUCUUACCUGGGCUGGCAGGCAGCUCAGCCCUCAGACAAAAUGACUUCAUGGCAUUCCUUCCUGGAUGUGGAGAACUACCAUAGAUUUCUCCCAUAUAGCAUGUAAGGUAGGGUCAUUGAAGCCAGUGGUAUGAGAAAUGGAGGAAAUGCAGAACAGUUGCUUAGAUAAACAGCCUUUUUUCAAAGUGCCUUGCAUGUGCUGUGCUCCUUUAGCAGAGGAGCUGACUGAGGCAGGACACAUCUCUGUCAGCCCUUCCCACACCUGCACUUCUCCUGCUCUUCUACCAGCCCAGCUGACAUGCAGUGAAAGGAUGCCUUUGAGUUUCACCCAUUUGAGUCCAAAAAAUAAGCUAAAGUUUUGUAUAACUGACUUGGACAAAUGUGCACCCUUGACUUGACCCCCGAUGACUUACAUAUCCCCUCGUAUGCCUGCCCUGAGAGGCAGGCCCCUGGACACUGUUGGCAGGCUGGUUGGCAGCACGGAUGCAUUAUUUAAGUGCUCAAAUGCAUCAUAGUUUUUGUCUUGUAGCAAAAAGCCACAAGCUUGUGUAGCAUUUAAUUCAGGCUUAUUAGCAAAUCCUUCAAGCAAUGCCUCUGUCAGCAUUGCUGAGUGGGCCAGGCUUUAACCAGAGCCAGCAUAGAAGCACUAUAGUUGUACUGCUUUGGUGUGAAGAGCAGAGCCAGUGAUGUGAGUUUGGGUCCAGGGCUAUGGUAAUAUGGUCAUUCAGCUCCCAAAUUGACCCAUAUAUGAGAGUCAUGUAGAUGAAUUGCUGCUAAAAAACCCCCAGGCUGAAGGAGGUCAAACCACUGUCUGGUUCAUAGAAAAUGUGAAGCUGUGACCAACAAAUCCAGGGGAAAGACAGGAGCAUUUCAAGGUGAAUAGCAGUGCAUGCCACCAACCUAAACUAUUUUCUUUAGCCACACUGACCACGAAGGAUGAAGAUGACGGGCUUGAACCAGGGAAAUCAAUAUCCUCAACUGCCUCUAGUGAAAGAAGCCCCACUGGGAACCCCCAAAGGCUGGCAGGGCUCAUUUUCAGCUCCCUACCUUGUGGGAGAGUGCCUGCUGCUCUUGCUUGAUGGAUGUUCGUGGUGUGCAUCCUAGCUGGCUGAGACCCAGGCAUGGUGUGGGAGUAUUUCAUGGCAUCAGCAGGGGAAAGGGGAACAGCUGGGAGGUGGAUGCCACCUCUGAGGAGUGCUGGUGGGAGGGAGUGAGCUGCUGAGGGGGUUUGGCCAAGAGCCUGGUGGCUGCAUUAAGUGUAGCCGUUGGGAGGCCAUUUGUCAUAGCUGUGCAACCAGCCACCCAUCAACAGCAAUUACUGGUUUUUUACAGCUUCCAAACAAUGUUCGUUGCAAGCUGUGUUUGCUGUCAUAACGUAAAAAACAGAAAUAGGAUGAAAAAAAUCGUACCAAACCAAACAAAACUGCAGCUUUUCAGGGAUUUUGUGUUUUUCUUUUAAAGUUAACAGGUGUUCCUGGUCACCCUGCGAAACCACAGGGAAAAUAUCUGCAUACCACUGAAAUGAAGCAACUCCAAACCAAACUCUGGGAAGAUAAUCCCAUCCUUUUCUUUUGUUUUGUAGAAAUGAAUGGGUAAAACAACCAGCUUGGACUCUGGGUUUUCAUAGUGAUAGAGAGGAAGCUUUCACCACCAUCCCAGUUUUGGACUGCAUCUGAUGCAGUCUCAUGGAGACAGGGGACUGUUAUUAGAGCUGCGUGAAUAAUCUACAGCAAGUUACUGAAUGGAAGUGUUUGGCCUUUUAUCUGUUUGCAAACUAUCUGUGAGCCUGCCUGGAUGUUCUUGAAUGUGUUUGUUGUUUGAAAUAAUGCUGCUUGUAAUUUCUGUGUAUAAUCAUUUAUUUGUAGCUUGCCUAUGAGCAUUUAGAUAGUCAAAAUAUCAUUUCUCUUCCAUGGCUACAUGACUGCAACUCUGAUAUUUUCACCAAAAGUACCCACAGCCAGGAGUGGUAAAUUCACUUUCUGUAAAAACCUGUUGAAAUCUUAUUGGGAAAUGUAUGUUCAUCUGCAAUAUUUGUGGAGAAAAAAAGGGAGGAAAAUGUAGUUAAAUAACAGAGGAUUUUGGUAAGACAUUGAAAGGUAUUUCCUAGAAUUCUUUCUAUGGCUAAUUGGAUGAUUUAUGUUUUUACGUUUUGCAGUCUGGAACCACUAAAUCAGAAGCAAGUUUGCUUAGAAGAUUUCUACUUAAACCAUACACAGUCCCCAUGCCCUAUGACUCUAAAAGUGUCUCUGCAUGCUGUAGUCCAGAUCUGAACUACUUCCAGACUCCAGAAGUUGUAUACUGAAACACUCAGCUCUCUGCCAAAGGACUGUUCAAAGGUUGAAAGAAAAGCUCACCACUUGGUUUCUGAGCAGGGCUGUCCCUGCAUAAAAGGCCACCCAGCUGUCGGGGUGAUGGUGUCCCCAGCAGAGCCUGCUGCCUCAUUUGUUCCCCGAGCCACGGGUUUGGGCACCAGCACCACAGGCACGUCACUCAGCUGCGCUGGGCACAAAUGCCCACAGCUCACUGCUGCUCCUUGCCAAGCUCUCAAGAGAAUGGAACGUACCCUUUCGAGGAGGAACCCAGUGUACCAGGGAUGUUUGCCAUGUGCUCACGGGGCCAAGUCAAGACAAAGCAAACAUUUCACCCACGUGCUUCGCAAGCCACCAGAGCUUGCAGGGAUACACCUGAAUCAGCCGGGCAGCCAAGCAGCAAUGAGGUUUUAUAACUAUUUUGCCCUCCAAAAAUUGGUGCAUACUCAGUGCCUAGAGUGCUCCCAGCACUGCCCUGUUGUGCCCACUUGUCCAGUAGAAUUGAAGCCAGGUCUUUGACAGCCAGCAAGUUCUGCUAGCAGCUCUGAAAGUUUCUUUGGCAGCAGUGUCAGACUGCUUCCCAUCUGCACAGGCAGGAUUAAGGGAGCUUUGCAGGGCAAGGGUGGCCCAGAAAAAACUCUUGUAUUUGUUUUCAUUUGUAGUAUUUCAGUUACCCUGCAUGAUUGGAUGGUUUUGUGAUAAGGACAUCUUGAGGGAUAAAUUGCGCAGGCGUAUUAAGGAAAAAAUAGUCAAUACUGUGCACAGGCUAAGUGCCUCUAUCAAAAAUUCACAUGUAUUUUCAGGCAAGAAACAAUGUUUUGCAAAGAAAACAGGGCAUGAAUCCAUUUUGGUUGUCUGUAAAAAUGUCUUCUUCUGAAAGAAAUGUAGAAGAGAAAAUUUUUUACUGAAAACAUUCCCUGUUCCUGAACCCUCUGUUUCCAAACAGCAUUGCUCUGAACUAUUGUAUGUGGGUAGGAGUUUUCAAAAUAUUAGAUCUCCUUUGGCUAACUGAAAAGUUGUGUGGGCUGUAGAUAUCUCUCUGUAUCUAUAUUGUUAUCUUGUUACAGGCUGCUUAGAAAGCUAAUGGGCAGCAGAUCAGUGAAUGACAGUAAAAGCCAAAGUACUGUAGGCAAAGGUGUGGGCUUGGAUUCAGGAGAUGAAACAGGCUGUGAGCUAAUACAACUUACUUUACUCUGUUUCCCUUUCCAGGCUUUGUCUUUACCACUUAAAACCGUAAACAUGUUGAGCUUUCUAUAAUGGAUUAAGAAAAUUAAACUUACUGUGAUGAAAAGGGGGAGACAAAAACAACACUGUUCUUUCUUUCACACUUCCUACUCUCUCUCUCUGUCGAUUUGCUGGGUACUUUCAUCCUCUUUUUUUCUGUCCUACCCCUUAUUGGGACUCCGUUACUAUCCUUCUUUGUCUUAUGCCUUCUUCCCCAAGAAAGUUUUAAUGGAGAGGAGUUAUUUGAGGGAGAAAAUAUCUGCCCAUGGAGCUUGUGACUGGUACAGAAUGAAAUGGGAGUUGCGCUGAAGAUUCAGCUUUUUUGUGGAAAAUGAAAACAAAAUCAACCUUUUCUCAUAUUAUUGACAUUUCUUCAGAGGGUAUGGUCAUUUGUAAAGAAAACUUAAGCCAGAAUUUAGGCUUUGACUAUUGAAAUGUUUUGAUGAAAAUUUGCCAACCUCUUAAUUUACUUUUCCAAUUCUCCAAUUAAGGAAAAAAAAAGAUUACUCAAAGAAUCUUUCCCACCACACAGCUCCCUCCUUCCCCUGCUUUUCUUGGUUUUUUUUUUUUUUUUUUUUUUUUUUUUUUGGGUCAAACCAAUUUUCCACUUGCACUGAUUCAACGCAAUCUUUUUAUUCCAGAAGCUGCAUUGCAAUAAGGUUGAAAAAGGAGGCCAGCCCCAGCUGAUUUAAUGCUUCGCUCGUGAUCGUUUGUACCCUUUUCGUUUCUCUUUACCUUUUUUGAGCUGAAUUUGGUGGGGAGUGUUUUAUAUGCUAAAGUGUACCCGGCACUCAUCAAUUCUCCUUUAGUGAUGAGCUGUAUCACUGAGCUGUAGCUACUGGGGUGCAUCAUGGGGUCACCCCAUUUCUCAGCCAGCUAAUAGCUGAUGGUUGAGGUCUAUGUAUACAGCUACUGCAUACAUAAUCUGGGAUGGAGGAGGAAAAAAUCUUUUAAAAUUGUUCCCAACAAGGUAGUCUGAAUGUCCGUUUGUCAUUUUGGGCUCUACAUGAUGUAUCUGUGAAGGGUAAUAGAGGGUUGGGACUGAUUUAGACCUGAAAAAGAGCAGUGUGAAAGGUUGGUAGAGAAAUGAUAGACCUCAAUACCAGUGCUUAAGCUGUGGGCAAAUUCCUCAGGCUUUACCCUUUCCUCUCCUGCAAAGGAAAUUACUUAAUAUCAUUUACUUACAAUAUCUCAGGUUCUGUUUUUUAACUGAUAGAAGCAUUUGGGAUCAUUUUUAAAAGCUAGUGCUGUAAAGGGAUGUGGUGAUGGGAUGUCUCUCACAAAGCUGUUGAAGAGGACUGCAGAGGAUCCUUGGACAGAGAGUUUCCACGAGGGAGGAGAAAGAUUUAAUUAAUAACAGCAUUAACUUGCACCCUAGACACAUUGCCGGUGUACAGCCAAUCUGCCUUUGCCUUGCUUCACCACACUGCAAGCUGUGCUGGGCAGGCUCUGUUAGGCUCCCUGCUCUCUGCACCAAGCCCGAUUUCAGUCUCUGGGCUCUGCCUCAGCCUUAAAAUACAGAGAUGAUGCAAAUUCUUCAAGAAAGGAAAAUGAUGUUUGUUCUGGGGAAGGUGGGAUGCAACCCUAAGGGGGACUUGAAGUAGUGCACAGCCUGAGUCCAGGAGGAUGCAACAAGGAUGGAGCAGGUGCUGACUGGCAGCAUGUUUUUAACUACUGUUGAUAUUUAACGGUUGUUUUGUCAAACUGGACUGAAGCACCUCCCACACAGUCCUCUUCAUUACAGUAAAUUAGGAAUAGUGCUUGAAUAGGGCUGGAGAAAGGUUACAGAGCUUUACUCAGUUCUUAAGGCAUUAAAUCACCUCCAUUUCCAGCUAGGACAACUACACCAGUGUCAUUUUGAAAGAAAUGGAACACAAAGGGUGAGCUGGCUGGUUGGCUUUAGUGCCCUAGAGCACUAAGCUAUAAGGCCUUGUUUGUGGUGAUGCCAGGAAGGUUAAAUUCCACUUCUUGGGCGUGACAGAAGCUUGUCCUAAAAUGCAUGCAGAGUCUGGCAGCACCCAUAAAAAGGAGGUAAUGAUGGAGCUGGCAAAGUGGGUAUCUGCCUGCUCCUUUUCAUUAAUUAAGUACAGUUGGUCACAACGGGGCAACUCAGGCCAGACUGGGAGAGUUAGCUACAGAAUAAGGUUUGACUCUAAUCCCUGCUGAGAAUAACUGAGUUUCUUUCACAGGGGAUAUACAAGACUCAGGCAGAUUUUGUCUGUAUUCUGAAAGUGUUCUCCAUCUUUAUGUUUUGUGGCACAGUCUGGAAACACAAUAAAAGGAGUCUCUGGGUGGCUCUGUGUUCAUGUGACUCUGAAUCAGUAUCUAAAUCCUGCCCAAUUCCUGUCUCUUUCAAAUCAUACAUUUUCUUAAUAUGAAUCUAAAUAUCACAAACUUUGGUCUUAAGUUGUCACUGUUUAGUUAAAGACACAGUUCUGAGCAGAGUUUGAACAGAUGGGCAGGAUGGUGAAGGCCAAGAUAUUCAGUAGUACUUGUGGCUCUGUCUCCAAACUUUUGCCUCACAGCCUGUCCCAGCAUGGGUGUUCCUUAAGUGGAUACUUAGAAUUUUCCCAGCAUGGAAAGAAUCAGAACUAAUUUUUCAUGUUGCAAUCUUUCCACCAGAUGUAUUGACACCUGGACAAAAAGCUUUGUUAUCCUUCUGGUCAAGAUGAGUAUUCACUUAAAUGUUUGACAAGUGAGUGUGAGGGAAUUCAGGAGAAAAAACAUCUUUGUCCAACUCCAAGAGAAAGGCUUUGUCUAGAUAAGUGUGGUCGGUUACUUCGUGUUUGCUAUGACUGAACAGCCAAAUAAAAGGAGGAGCACAUUUUAAUUUGUCCCCUCCCUCCUGAGGGCAGAAGUAGGAUUAAAUCAGCAUAGUUGGAUGUGCUGACAAACCAGAGAGCCAAGAAGGUGGCAGUGAUAUAAAACACUUUCACAUAGCAAAGGAAGAGGUCUGAUUUCCACAUGCUCCAGCCAGGGACCGGAUGGGUGUUGGGCUUUGGUAUGUGGUUGAGAUAAGAGUCAGUGGUCCUUCAAAAUACUGUGCUGCUACCUGAACUCACAGCUGUGUGGCUCCCCUUCCCUCUUAGGGUUAACUGUAAACUAUCUAGGCUAGGCCAUACAGACAAGCCUUUAUGCACUUGCAGUUAUGUCUCCCAUACCAUCAGUUUUCAGGUGCAAAGACAAAGGUCAGUUCUUAGAAUGCUCCUCCUGGAGACCACACAGAUCUUAUGCGUUGGCACUUCAUGAUCCCAGAAACACUUCUGGCCUCGGCAGGACAGGCCUAAAAGCAGCAGUGCCUCAGACUAUGCUGAAGGUUCAAUAACCAAACGGUGUGGGGAAAUCUUGACUGUGCUUUAAUUUACUAUAUUGCAUUGCUAGCAAGGCUAGAUGCAUAAACAAUAAUGAUUAAUAAAUCUGUUAUAUCCUCCUUUUUUUUCCUAUUUGCAAACUGCCCAAGCAAUUUUGUCAACUGCAUUUGUUAUUCAGAAUAUUUCACUAAGUAAUUUCUGGAGAUAAUACUUGUGUUUUUAUCUUGUCUGGGAAGUUAUGCUGGGUCUGACAUUGGAUCUGUUUUUGUUAGAGACAUAAAUCUCUCUUUUGUUGUUUCAGAAUCACAUUUCCCAUCCUACCAUUUGCAAUUACAGAUAUGAAACUUGCUUGCUUUGACUGCUCUUCAACAUCCAUUUAUCACUGGCUAUUUCAGCUGCUGUUGAAAAGCUAGUAAACUGUAUCAUUCUCACAUUUGGGACCAAACACCAUACAGGGAAGCAUGAAUUUACUUGCACAAAAAUUAAAGACUGAAUGAGCAUCUGUGAAUUUUCCUUUAUUUUGGAUGGAUUUGUUAUAAUUUUGUAUAUAGUCCAUAUUUUGUCUGAGUACCAAGCUGAUGUGCAGCAGAAAAGAAAGGCCAUUCAUGGGCUGUGUAUUUGGACAGCUUGUGUUGAAGCACAUAUCAUUACCACCACAUUUGCUAUUUGCUCAUCAGACACUAAUGCAUCAAUCUCUAACCAAAAUGGCCUGUAUGGGCAUGGAGUAGACCUGAGAGACUUCUCCACUAACUAGAGCACACAGAAAGAAGUAAUCAUUAUGGCAAUGAUCCUUCAAAUGGGGCAUGUGUAACAUAGUCUUCUAAGCAAUGCUGGCCCAGGUUUGGCAAGAGUGAUGAGGGACAAGGCUAUCUGGACAUCUGGUCCCCAGCUGGGUAGAAAAUACUCCUUAAGGGCAUCCUCAAGAGUCUGAGUCCCAGCAGAUGGAGAAGGGAAAGCAGGUACCCACCUCUCUGGACCAGUUCUCUAAACAAUGUGGGGAGGGGGGUUAAAGAAAAAGGAAGGUGAACAAGGUCUACUACUUCAUUCUGCACUUCAAAAGAAAGUGUUGGCCACCACGACCUUUUGGAGGGAGGAGAAUCCUGAAAAUGUGCUCUGAGAAUGGUUAAUAGGUCAGGAGUCUCAGGGAAAAGAGGAGGAGAAAUAUUUUGUUCCUUGAUCAUAACUCAGCUUAGACACCAAGCUGCUCAGACAUUUUUGGGCAUGCAGAAAAGGAGAUUACUUGUUUCUGGGAUCAGGCUUCAGCUGAGAAAAUGUCUCUCCAAGACACAGUUUUUGUAAUUGGGUGCCCAAAUUCCCCUGAGCUUUCACUGGCUACAGCCUCUUUGACCUUGUCUGAUGUAAGUGUAAGACUUUGGGGCAUACUGCUCCAAUGUCAGCAGAGCAUUUUGUAUCAUGAAAGGAGAGGCUGGGGCAGAAAAACUAUUUGCAAGGAAACAUCUUAAUGGACGACUUUUACAAUUGUUAUUUAUUUUGGUGGUGUAAUAAAGGGGAAAUUUUCCGACAA